GGCGGACGGGUGAGUAAUGUAUCGGAACGUACCCAGUCGUGGGGGAUAACUAUCCGAAAGGAUAGCUAAUACCGCAUACGUCCUGAGGGAGAAAGGCGGGGGAUCGCAAGACCUCGCGCGAUUGGAGCGGCCGAUAUCGGAUUAGCUAGUUGGUGAGGUAAAGGCUCACCAAGGCGACGAUCCGUAGCUGGUCUGAGAGGACGACCAGCCACACUGGAACUGAGACACGGUCCAGACUCCUACGGAGGCAGCAGUGGGAAUUUGGACAAUGGGGCAACCCUGAUCCAGCCAUUCCGCGUGAGUGAAGAAGG
rnacentral:rRNA from 1 species